rnacentral:sRNA from 1 species
GUCUGGUCACCGAGUGGCCUGACUUCAUGGAUGGCUGCUGGGGAGUAGCAGUUGAGGAGCGAAGAGGUCUUACAGAACACCCACAGGCAGCAUCCAGAAGCCUCACUCAUUCUCCCUGAUCUCAGAAUGUCCUUUUCUUUUCAGCUAUGCCUCCAACAAAGCAAGUAAAGCUGCUUCCGUCCUUCUGUAUUCUCUGUGGGCACACACGGAACUGCAUCAUGCCUACAAGAAGGCUCAGUUUAAGAAGACAGAUUUUGUCAACAGCCGGACUGCCAAAGCCUACCACUCCCUUAAAGACUGAGGAAAAUGACAAAGUAUUCUCGGCUGCAAAAAUCCCCAAAGGAAAACACCUAUUUUUCUACUACCCAGCCCAAGAAACCUCAAAAGCAUGCCUUGUUUCUAUCCUUUUCUAUUUCCGUGGUCCCCUGAAUCCAGAAAACAAAUAGAACAUAAUUUUAUGAGUCUUCCAGAAGACCUUUGCAAGUUUGCCACCAGUAGAUACCGGCCACAGGCUCGACAAAUAGUGGUCUUUGUUAUUAGGGCUUAUGGUACAUGGCUUCCUGGAAUCAAAAUGUGAAUUCAUGUGGAAGGGACAUUAAUCCAAUAAAUAAGGAAAGAAGCUGUUGCAUUACUGGGAUUUUAAAAGUUUGAUUUACAUUUAUAUUCCUUUUCCGGUUCCCAUGUUUUGUCACUCAUGUGCACAUUGCUUCGCCAUUGGGCCUCCAGUGUAUUGUUCUGCAGUGUUGAAACAGAAUGGAAAUGACAAGAAAUAUCUGCAGUUA